GUGUGGGGAGAGUGGGAACAUCCCUGCUUCUUGUCCAAAUCCAAAGAGAGGAUCCAAGGUUCCAGUCAGGAAGGCUCUUUUUUUUAAUCAAUUGAUUUUUGUUUUCAGAACUAAGGUGGAAAUGACCCAGUGAGGAAGGAAAAUGAGCACAGGCUGCCCUAGUCACACAAUUAAAACAUAUAUGCUGGCCAAAGGUCAUCUUCAUAGCUGGGUGAGGAGAUGCUGAGAUGAACUACAGACGUGAGAUGAACUAUAUAGCUGGUAGCUGGUUCCCCGCUGGGAUGUGCAUUCAGAUCCCCAUCCUUGUCGGUUCCAAAGACUCUACCUGCACCCAGGAUCUGAAAGCUUUGAUGUGGGUCAUCCGACCAAGUGGAAAGAACCACAGCAUCCCUUUGUAAUGGGGGUUUAUUCUACUGUGUGACAACAGCCACCUCUUUCAUUUGAGGAGAUUAAUAACUUAGGCAACACUCCUGGUAGACCUGCCAUUUGGCUCAGCUCAGUUCCAGCUUGUUUGGAGAGAGAAGUGUUCCUCAUCAUGCCAUAUCCUCACACAGAUUGUCCAAGUACCAGCAAGACAAGAAGAGAAAAGUACACAGGAGCACAUUAGGCGGAGCUGGGAUUCUGCUACACAUUCAGAUGACAGGUCACCUAUAGACAGAUGAUUCAGGGAUCAACCUGGAGUUCUUAAUACAACCAAGAAGAGACUCAGAAAGCUGGGAAUAUGGGCAAAAGAUCAUCUUGAAAACCACACACAGUUGUGGUAAAUAAAUGCACAAUUUAAAAAAUGCAUUUACAAAAAUAUAGGGGUCUCCAG